CCGACUUUCCCCUUCGUUUCAAACCCUCGGGUGGCGCCAUGCUCGCCUCGAGAGCCCUCCGCGCCCUCUCCGUCUCCGGCGGCCUCUCAUCUCUCGCCGUCCGGCGAGGGUUCUCGCCGCGUCGGCUCCAUCGAGAUUGUUCGGAAAAGAGAGUGGAGGAGUCCAGUUUCAUUCAUCCGACUGCUGUUGUUCAUCCCGAUGCUGUUCUUGGACAGGGUGUUUCCAUUGGUCCUUUUUGUACGGUGGGAUCUGCUGUAAAGAUUGGUAAUGCUUGCCAAUUGCAUGCAGGGAGCCAUAUCAUGGGAAACACAGAGUUAGGAGAAGACUGUACUGUUCUAAAUGGUGCUAUUGUUGGUGCAGAUAUACCAGGUAGAACAAUUAUUGGAAAUAACAAUGUUAUUGGACACCAUGCGGUGGUUGGAGUAAAGUCCCAAGAUUUGAAAUAUAAGCCAGGGGAUGAGUGUUUUCUACAUGUUGGCAGCGACAAUGACAUCAGAGAAUAUAGCUCCAUUCAUCGAUCUUCCAAAUCAAGUGAAUCAACGGUUAUUGGUGACAACAACCUUAUUAUGGGAUCUUGUCAUAUUGCUCAUGACUGCAAGAUUGGUAACAACAAUAUUUUUGCUAAUAAUACUCUAUUAGCUGGCCAUGUGGUGGUGGAAGACUAUGCUCAUACUGCAGGGGCUAUUGUUGUUCAUCAAUUUUGUCACAUAGGAUCAUAUUCUUUUGCCGGUGGGGGUUCUGUGAUUACACAAGAUGUACCAAAGUACAUGAUGGUUUCUGGUGAUAGAGCAGAGCUUCGUGGUUUGAAUCUAGAGGGGCUUAGACGGCAUGGAUUUUCAAGCAUGGAGGUUAGAGGCAUGAGGAGAGCUUACCAAAAGAUAUUCAUGUCCAGUGAUAUGAACCCAGGGGGCCUGGAUGACCGACUUGCUGAAGUGGAACAAGACAAAGAAUUAGCUGAAUUUUCUGCUGUGUCUUCUAUGGUGCAAUCUAUCCGCAAUUCAUUUCAGCAAAGUCGUCGUGGAAUAUGCAAGUUCAGAAAUUGGAGUGGUUCUUGAAGACUUGAUAAUGGUGGCUUUUUCCCAUGUCCUUUUGGUUGGCAGUUUCUCAGUAUCUAGAUGAAAGACAAAUCUGACUUUAAUAUCGACUUUCAAAGUUUGGUGGUUCAAGCAAAAUAUAACAAUGAUGGAUUCAAGUGUGGCUAUCAUCUCUUCUUCCUUCAAGUUUGUUGUAUUGCAUCAUUGAGUUGAAAACCUUCACUUCGUGUCUGUAAUAGCUCCAAAUAUAGGAUAUAAAAAGAACCUUCUCCCUUCAUGCCGGCGUAUAGAGGGUAGGAAUCAGUCGCUGCCAAUUACCAUCAGUGUAUUCUAAUUCAUUGUAUUUCUUUCAUGGUGGCUUAUAUUUAGUUUGCACUCCAUCUUCUUUAUUUCUUUCAUCAGUUUUGUGCUCUGAUUUGUCAACUCCCAAGUUUGUAGUCACUCUUUAGUAUGUAACCAUGUGUGACCUGUAAUUAGGGAGCUUAUAUUGCAAUGCUGAGCUUUAUCUUCCUCUCAUUUCUAAAUUGAAAGCAAUGAACUCUGGAUUGAGUUCCUGUUUUGCUAUACUUAUGUAAUCGAGUUAUGAUGAUUUAAUUUGU